rnacentral:rRNA from 1 species
CGGGUGCACUGAUCCAGCCGGGCCUUUCCCUCUGUGGAACCCCAUGGCCUUCACUGGCUGUGGUGGGGAAACAGGACUUUUACUUUGAAAAAAUUAGAGUGCUCCAGGCAGGCCUAUGCUCGAAUACAUUAGCAUGGAAUAAUAGAAUAGGACGUGUGGUUCUAUUUUGUUGGUUUCUAGGACCGCCGUAAUGAUUAAUAGGGACAGUCGGGGGCAUCAGUAUUCAAUUGUCAGAGGUGAAAUUCUUGGAUCUAUUGAAGACUAACUACUGCGAAAGCAUUUGCCAAGGAUGUUUUCAUUGAUAAGGAACGAAAGUUAGGGGAUCGAAGACGAUCAGAUACCGUCGUAGUCUUAACUAUAAACUAUGCCGACUAGGGAUCGGACGAUGUUAUUCUUUGACGCGUUCGGCACCUUUCGAGAAAUCAAAGUGCUUGGGCUCCAGGGGGAGUAUGGUCGCAAGGCUGAAACUUAAAGAAAUUGACGGAAGGGCACCACCAGGGGUGGAACCUGCGGCUUAAUUUGACUCAACACGGGGAAACCCACCAGGUCCAGACACAGUGAGGAUUGACAGAUUGAGAGCUCUUUCUUGAUUCUGUGGGUGGUGGUGCAUGGCCGUUCUUAGUUGGUGGAGUGAUUUGUCUGCUUAAUUGCGAUAACGAACGAGACCUUAACCUGCUAAAUAGCCCGUACUGCUUUGGCAGUUCGCCGGCUUCUUAGAGGGACUAUCGG